AGAGAUGUAGCUCAAUGGUAGAGCACUUGCCUAAUAUGUACAAGACCCUGGGUUCAAUCCCCAGUAUUUCAA
rnacentral:tRNA from 1 species